AUACGGAGGGUGCAAGCGUUAAUCGGAAUUACUGGGCGUAAAGCGCACGUAGGUGGUUUGGUAAGUUGGAUGUGAAAUCCCCGGGCUCAACCUGGGAAUGGCAUCCAAGACUGCCAAGCUAGAGUCUGGUAGAGGGUGGUGGAAUUCCGGGUGUAGGAGUGAAAUCCGUAGAUAUCCGGAGGAACACCGGUGGCGAAGGCGGCCACCUGGACAGGUACUGACGCUGAGGUGCGAAAGCGUGGGGAGC
rnacentral:rRNA from 1 species